CAGGAUCUGGGUCUGUUCUCUUCCGGCUCGUGCCGGAUCUUGAACAACUGGGUGGACAGGGGUUUCUGUGUUGGAUUGUGUGUGGAGAUUUGGAGGGACGAGUCAUGGCGGAUCAGGCCUUGGAGGGAAGCCAACCGGUUGAUCUGUCCAAGCAUCCUUCAGGAAUCGUUCCCACUCUUCAGAACAUAGUCUCAACAGUGAAUUUGGACUGCAAAUUGGAUCUUAAGGCCAUUGCUUUGCAAGCUAGAAAUGCUGAGUAUAAUCCCAAAGGUAUU